GAGUUUGAUCUUGGCUCAGAUUGAACGCUGGCGGCAGGCCUAACACAUGCCAAGUCGAGCGGUAGAGAGAAGCUUGCUUCUCUUGAGAGCGGCGGACGGGUGAGUAAUGCCUAGGAAUCUGCCUGGUAGUGGGGGAUAACGCUCGGAAACGGACGCUAAUACCGCAUACGUCCUACGGGAGAAAGCAGGGGACCUUCGGGCCUUGCGCUAUCAGAUGAGCCUAGGUCGGAUUAGCUAGUUGGUGAGGUAAAUGGCUCACCAAGGCGACGAUCCGUAACUGGUCUGAGAGGAUGAUCAGUCACACUGGAACUGAGACACGGUCCAGACUCUACGGGAGGCAGCAGUGGGGAAUAUUGGACAAUGGGCGAAAGCCUGAUCCAGCCAUGCCGCGUGUGUGAAGAAGGUCUUCGGAUUGUAAAGCACUUUAAGUUGGGAGAAGGGCAGUAAAUUAAUACUUUGCUGUUUUGACGUUACCGACAGAAUAAGCACCGGCUAACUCUGUGCCAGCCGCCG
rnacentral:rRNA from 1 species